CCUUUUGGUCGGAACUUCGGACCUUCGACUGUAACAUCGUUUAGGGAGGUAGACGUUAACGGGAGUUUGCUAAGUAAACUCUAUUCCCUCGGGAGUCGCUUUGGGUUAUUCAAUUCCUUCGUAAUUUAGCGUAGCGCGAAUGUCAUAUUGUAAAGAUUCUUACAAGUAAAAAAAAAAAUACUUUAACUAGUGACUGGACUAUAGUUGGCGCUUGCGAUUUCCAUCGACUUCGUUGGGUCUUCUUUAAGGUUUUUGGUACGAGUUUGACUUUGAGCGCCUGUUAUAACGGUAAAGCCUCUCGCAUGGUAAUGCUGCUCUCUGUAGCAACAGGUCAUAACUUGCAGGAUGAACCAGAAUUGAAGAAAAUGUGCAGACAUGAUGCGGGGUUCCGAACCUUUCAGAGUUAGGCUGAUAUUUCUACGGAUCAAAGAUGUGGGCAGUGGUGAUAGAAGUUCACUCUCGACGUGGUUCGUUAAACACUUAAAGCCGUUGGUCCGUUGCUGAAUAACUGGUUCCAUGGAACAUAAAAACACCAUACAAACAAACAAGAUGGGGACAAAUGGAUUAAGCUUUUAUUCGUGUAAAUUCUUAGUUUUCCAUGUUGUGCAUUUCAUUUGAAACCCUGAUAGGUUUGACUUGGGAUCCUGGGAUGUUAUGCAUCCGGAAACUUACUGUUUUCCGUUGUGUAUUUUGAAAUCAAAUUUCAAUAAAUAAAUGGUCUUUAUA